rnacentral:misc_RNA from 1 species
GAAAUGCGAUACGUAGUGUGAAUUGCAGAAUUCAGUGAAUCAUCAAAUCUUUGAACGCACAUUGCGCCCUUUGGUAUUCCAAAGGGCAUGCCUGUUCGAGCGUCAUUUGUACCCUCAAGCUUUGCUUGGUGUUGGGCGUUUUUUGUCUUUGGCUCGCCCAAAGACUCGCCUUAAAACGAUUGGCAGCCGGCCUACUGGUUUCGCAGCGCAGCACAUUUUUGCGCUUGCAAUCAGCAAAAGAGGACGGCAAUCCAUCAAGACUCCUUCUCACGUUUGACCUCGGAUCAGGUAGGGAUACCCGCUGAACUUAAGC